rnacentral:rRNA from 1 species
GAUGAACGCUAGCGGCAGGCCUAAUACAUGCAAGUCGGACGGGAUUUGGGAGCUUGCUCCUAAUGAGAGUGGCGCACGGGUGCGUAACACGUAUGUAACCUACCUUAAUCAGGGGGAUAGCCUCUCGAAAGAGAGAUUAACACCGCAUAAUAUAUUUUUAUGGCAUCGUAGAAAUAUAAAAUAUUUAUAGGAUUAAGAUGGGCAUGCGGAACAUUAGCUAGUUGGUAAGGUAACGGCUUACCAAGGCUACGAUGUUUAGGGGAUCUGAGAGGAUGACCCCCCCCACUGGUACUGAGACACGGACCAGACUCCUACGGGAGGCAGCAGUAAGGAAUAUUGGUCAAUGGGCGCAAGCCUGAACCAGCCAUGCCGCGUGCAGGAAGACGGCCCUAUGGGUUGUAAACUGCUUUUGUACCGGAAUAAACCCUUUUACGUGUAGAAGGCUGAAUGUACGGUAAGAAUAAGGAUCGGCUAACUCCGUGCCAGCAGCCGCAGUAA